rnacentral:rRNA from 1 species
UGGGCGCUGGAGAACUGAGGGGGGCUGCUCCUAGUACGAGAGGACCGGAGUGGACGCAUCACUGGUGUUCGGGUUGUCAUGCCAAUGGCACUGCCCGGUAGCUAAAUGCGGAAGAGAUAAGUGCUGAGGAUGCUUUAGAUUAUGUCGCCGGAUACAGCUGCUAUAUGGAUGGUUCAGUGAGGGACUGGCAGCAUAGCUGGUUUACGGCUGGAAAAAACUGGCCUUCGACAGGAUCAU